rnacentral:rRNA from 1 species
GUGGGGAAUAUUGGACAAUGGGCGAAAGCCUGAUCCAGCCAUGCCGCGUGUGUGAAGAAGGUCUUCGGAUUGUAAAGCACUUUAAGUUGGGAGGAAGGGCAGUAAGUUAAUACCUUGCUGUUUUGACGUUACCGACAGAAUAAGCACCGGCUAACUUCGUGCCAGCAGCCGCGGUAAUACGAAGGGUGCAAGCGUUAAUCGGAAUUACUGGGCGUAAAGCGCGCGUAGGUGGUUUUGUAAGUUGGAGGUGAAAUCCCCGGGCUCAACCUGGGAACUGCCUCCAAAACUGCAUGACUAGAGUACGGUAGAGGGUAGUGUAAUUUCCUGUGUAGCGGUGAAAUGCGUAGAUAUAGGAAGGAACACCAGUGGCGAAGGCGACUACCUGGACUGAUACUGACACUGAGGUGCGAAAGCGUGGGGAGCAAACAGGAUUAGAAACCCGAGUAGUCC